rnacentral:lncRNA from 1 species
UGGGAUUUGGGAGGCUUAGAACUUAAUGAAAGAGUGGAGGUGCAUGUGACAUUGUGACACACCGAGAAGAGAGCGAGUCGGGCGGUGGGGGGUGGUUUCCACUUUCCACUUGAUGAUGAUGACAAUAAAAUUUAAAAGAAAAAAGAAAAGAAAAUAAGAAGAAGGGUCAAAAGGGUCAGAUAGGAGGGGCAACACACAGGUGGGACAAAUCGGCGAGUGCUACCAGAAAAAGCAAGCCAAGAGAAAGUUGAAAAUGGCUUUUCACCGGCCUUCCCAAAUCCAAAAUCCCAAUGCCUCUCAAAACGUUCUCUCUAUACCAAUCAAAAAGCCCUGAACUUUCCCAGACACACACACACUUUCUCUCUCUUUCUCUCUCUCUCUCUUUCUCCUUCAUUUCUAAACGUAAAACCCCGCCCAACAAACCUCGCAACCAAAGGUUUCUCUCUACAUUCUGCAAUGGCUGUCAAGGGAAUCUUCUUCUCUUCCAUUUUCAUUGCCUCCAGUGAACAAAAUGCCCUUGGUCCGAAUGAGGUACCAUUUCGCCAUACCUUUGUAAAUCGAAGGUCGUUUUCGUGCAUUUUCAGAUGAGAGGCGUAAAAUGUAGUCUCUCUCUGUAAAUCCUCCCCCUCGUUGUGUGGUAAAAGGCAGACAGGAUGGAGCCAGGCAAUAUAUAUAUAUUUAUAUAUUUAUAUAUAAAGUUUUUUCUUUUUCACUCACAAAACUCUCACACCCCUUUUGUUAUUUCUGCUUCCUUUUUUUUUUUUUCCUUUCUAUUUUUGGGUUUUGGUUUUUCGUGUUUUCGUUUUUUGCGAGACUGUAAAAGAGGUGGAGGAGGAGCACACCACUCGUCAUCGAUAAUGGUUAUCGAUCGUCAUCCAUGGAAAUGCAAGGAGGAACACAGUGUAUGAAUGAAGCAUUUUGGUGGCUUCAUAUAUGUAUGUAUUUAGGGAUGUUGUGCCCUUAUAUAGUUAAUGAGAUGAUGAGAUGAUGAUGAUGAUGAUGUAUGCUUUUCUAAAUUUUCCAUUGAUUCAAAUGGGCAUAUGGAUAUAUAAAAAAUACAUAGUUCUUCUAUAUGUGGUUUUGCCCUUUCUGUUGGAUUUUGUUUUCUGUUUAUUUUUGGUUCAUGUGUUGCUGGUCAGGUGAGCAUUGUUAAAUCUGUGGGUUCUUUUUGCCAUUUUAUCUUACUCCUUUCCUUACUUGUUGAAGCAAAUGAAAGGGGCUUUUUGGGGGGAAAAGAAGCCACCUCAAAGUAAAGACUAUUCCAUUUUUGCCUUUACAAGCAUAUGAAAUUAGCGCAUUUGGUUGCUUCCAGCAUUUCAGAUGAUCCCUUCUUUUAUUUCCUUUUUUCCCCUUUGCUGGUCUCUUGUGAAAAAUGGGACAAAAAUGGAAAUGACAGAAUCUUCACAUUUUCCAUGUGUUUCUCUGAGAAAUGGGCUUCGAUUGUUGGGAGAAUGGUGCUUAUUUUGAUUUGUUAUUUUAUCUGCGUGUUUGUUGUUUGUUUCCAUCUAAAAUUUAAUUUUAGAUUAGAUCUUCUGAUUUGUAAAUAAAAAUUUUUGGAAGGCAUAAUUUUGUUGUUUUAGGCUUUUUUUUUUCCCUUACUCGUCUAUUUUAUUUUAUGGCAUUGUUUAUCCAGGAAGAUCUACUGUGACAUCUCCAAAUGAUGCCAAAAGAAAAAGUGAUAUGCUUUGAAUUUCCAACACAAUGCAUAUCCUGGUUCUGGUGAAUCAAGGCAUAUUCAUUGAAGGGGCACAAGUGACCCUGACCAAUAUCCUUAUUUCAUCUUUGCAUAGAAAUCUCCUUUUUUAUGGGUGUUCCAUGGGAUUGGGGGCAGGAGGAAUGUCUCUAGCUGUACAUGGUGAAUUGGGGUGGAGGCACCCGUUGGGUCAUCAUGAAGCAGCUUAGUGAUCCCUACAGGGGGUUGCCCUUAGACAAAUUGCUUUAACUGAUAUGGUUGUAUCUUUAUGACUUCAAGCUUUGAAUGGUGAUGGUGGAAAUGUUGUCUUUAACUUCAGCUACUGCAAAUUAGAUCUGUUCAUGCUUAUACCCAUUUGUUUACAAUUAGUACACUUCCCCAAAUUUCCACAGAUCAAAUUCUGCUUGUGAAGUGAUCAAAGUUCAAUCCAAAGUGGUAUUCUCAAGCCAUAUGAAUCUAAUUGGUUUUAUGGUUUUACACUUCUGUUGGCUUUAUUGAACUCCCCAGGAUGAAGUUCACCUGAUUGGUAUCAUGGUUUUAUACUUCUGCAGGCUUCAUUGAACUUCCAUGAAUGGAGUUCACUUUCAGCCUCACAGGAUGUCACCUUGAAAACUGUAAAACCUUGAAAUGUUGAGAGCUUUCAAGUUGAUCCCUGUUAUUACUAUCAACAUGAAAAGAGAAAUGGUCAUGCUCCAGUUCAAGGGAUGACAUCCUCUGAAAAGCAAAAAGCCACUUCUGGAUUUUAUUUUUGUCUUUUAUCAUCUAUCCGGAGGUUUGACUAGAUUUUCCCAAGCAUAAAGCCUUCAUGACUGGCAAACAACUAUCAAAUGAGGCUAAUACCAUUCAGGAUUUCUUGAAUGAAUCAUAGAUGAUCAAAUUUUGUUUUUCAUGAUUCAAUAUAUAGGAACCUUCAUAGCCAUGUGUUUUAUUAUGGCAAAG